UAUCGGAGAGAGGGGCCUAUAAAAUGAUGGCCCUUCAUGAACCAAAAUAUUGCAUUGCCAUAACACAUAAUUCUCCCACACGUAUAUAUCUUUCUUAGCAAUAAUACUGUUGUCAUGGCUCGUAGUUACGCUUUCUAUUUCACUAUUGCUCUUUUGAUGAUAUCUGUUUAUUUGGAUGAGUCUAUAAAAGUGAAAGUAGAUGCUGUGAGAGACGUAUCGCGGACUCUAACAGAACUGAAAUCAAAACUAAAUGGCUAUAACUUGAUGGGUGGUUGCGGUGGAUACUGUCGACAGAGUAGUGAUUGUUAUGUUCGUUCAUGUCCCCGUUGUCUCUACGAUGUUCUUGCACAUACCUACGGCUGCCACUCGUAAACGAUCGAUCACAAUAUGUGCUUCUAAGUUCUAUAGAAUAAGAGUAUAUGUAUGUUUGUGUGGUUUAUUGCCUUCAAUUAAUUUGCUUUUGUGUUUAUCUUUUCUCAUUUAAGCGAACCACUAAGUUCUACUUCUACGUUAUAUAAUAAUAGAGGAAGGAUAAUGUAUUGGCCUACAAUAUUUGUACUUUUGGUUUGGAAUGGAAGAACUCUAUAAUUAUUUUGCUUAUGGAA